GGUUCCUACGGGGGGCAGCAGUGAGGAAUAUUGGUCAAUGGGAGAGAUCCUGAACCAGCCAAGCCGCGUGAGGGAAGACGGUCCUAUGGGUUGUAAACCUCUUUUGUCGGAGAACAAAACCCGGGACGUGUCCCGGACUACGUGUAUCCGAAGAAAAAGCAUCGGCUAACUCCGUGCCAGCAGCCGCGGUAAUACGGAGGAUGCGAGCGUUAUCCGGAUUGAUUGGGUUUAAAGGGUGCGUAGGCGGUCCGUUAAGUCAGCGGUAAAUUUGGGGGGCUCAACCCCGUCGAG
rnacentral:rRNA from 1 species